AGUUAAUAUGAACUAGGAGUCUUCCUAAGCAGCAAUCCCAUCAGAAAAGUCCUUGAGUGGAAGAACAGCUGGACUCAGGGAUUCUACGUGUCAGCAUCCGACUCCUUGCUAGAUGCGAACAACCCAGCCAUGAAGCUCUAGGGGCUGCAGCCGUCCUGGAAGAAUGCCCGAUACACUGCUUAAUAAACACACGUUCGGCCUUCUGCAAAGAAAACACCCGAUUCUCUGAGCUACACCUGCAGAACCUCGGGCCUUUCUGCACCUGCCCAGCUCUGCAGAGUAGACGGCAGUUCCUGGCAGCUUACCAGGGCCACCGGAAGGGCUGGCUAAAACCCAGAUGGAAUUUCUGCCCCAGCAGCUCUGGUGGGAAGAAGGACUGGCUCUGCUGUUGAUCCCAGG
rnacentral:lncRNA from 1 species